rnacentral:rRNA from 1 species
AGAGUUUGAUCCUGGCUCAGGACGAACGCUGGCGGCGUGCUUAACACAUGCAAGUCGAACGAGAAUCUACUGAAAGAGUUUUCGGACAAUGGAUGUAGAGGAAAGUGGCGGACGGGUGAGUAACGCGUGAGGAACCUGCCUUGAAGAGGGGGACAACAGUUGGAAACGACUGCUAAUACCGCAUGACGCAUAGAGGUCGCAUGAUCUUUAUGCCAAAGAUUUAUCGCUUCAAGAUGGCCUCGCGUCUGAUUAGCUAGUUGGCGGGGUAACGGCCCACCAAGGCGACGAUCAGUAGCCGGACUGAGAGGUUGAACGGCCACAUUGGGACUGAGAUACGGCCCAGACUCCUACGGGAGGCAGCAGUGGGGAAUAUUGGGCAAUGGGCGCAAGCCUGACCCAGCAACGCCGCGUGAAGGAAGAAGGCUUUCGGGUUGUAAACUUCUUUUAAGAGGGAAGAGCAGAAGACGGUACCUCUAGAAUAAGCCACGGCUAACUACGUGCCAGCAGCCGCGGUAAUACGUAGGUGGCAAGCGUUGUCCGGAUUUACUGGGUGUAAAGGGCGUGCAGCCGGGUCUGCAAGUCAGAUGUGAAAUCCAUGGGCUCAACCCAUGAACUGCAUUUGAAACUGUAGAUCUUGAGUGUCGGAGGGGCAAUCGGAAUUCCUAGUGUAGCGGUGAAAUGCGUAGAUAUUAGGAGGAACACCAGUGGCGAAGGCGGAUUGCUGGACGAUAACUGACGGUGAGGCGCGAAAGUGUGGGGAGCAAACAGGAUUAGAUACCCUGGUAGUCCACACUGUAAACG